GACGAACGCUGGCGGCGUGCUUAACACAUGCAAGUCGAACGGAAAGGCCCUGCUUUUGUGGGGUGCUCGGGUGGCGAACGGGUGAGUAACGCGUGAGUAACCUGCCCUUGACUUUUGGAUAACUUCAGGAAACUGGGGCUAAUACCGGAUAGGAGCUCCUGCUGCAUGGUGGUGGUUGGAAAGUUUCGGCGGUUGGGGAUGGACUCGCGGCUUAUCAGCUUGUUGGGGGGGUAGUGGCUUACCAAGGCUUUGACGGGUAGCCGGCCUGGGAGGGGGACCGGCAACAUGGGGACUGAGAUACGGCCCAGACUCCUACGGGAGGCAGCAGUGGGGAAUAGUGCACAAUGGGCGGAAGCCUGAUGCAGCAACGCCGCGCGCGGGAUGAAGGCCUUCGGGUUGUAAACCGCUUUCGCCUGUGACGAAGCGUGAGUGACGGUAAUGGGUAAAGAAGCACCGGCUAACUACGUG
rnacentral:rRNA from 1 species